UAUUUUUUUUAAAUAAUAACGUAGAUGUUGAUUAAUGUUAUCUAUCAGGUGUUUAAUUGGGUUUGAAUGAAACUCGAAUAAAUCUGAAAACUGUGUCAAAAUGAGUAUAAAAAUACUGUUAAUGUGGACCAUUCUUUUCACCGAUCCAACAACUUCAGUAUUUGCAGCUGAAUGCUCUCCACCACUAUCAUGCCUUCUCAUAACAAAAUGCAAACCUCUCAUGACUGCAAUAAAAACCACACAAAAUUCUCCCGCAAUAAUAAAAUUUCUGAAAGCUCAAAUCUGUAGUCACAACAACAAACAAGAGCCAAAAGUCUGUUGUCCCGAUAAUCCUCUCAACAAUAAAAAACAAUUAAGUGAAUCACCGUGCAAACCCUCUUUUCGAUGCGUCAGUCUGUCUGGAUGCGGGCCUUUGAUGUAUUUGGUAAAUUUGGAAAAACCGAUCCCCGCAGGGAUCAUAAAAUUUAUCAAGUCUCAGCAAUGCGGGACAGGUAAAACCUACCCCAAGGUGUGUUGUAAAUUGGAGGCAAUAGAUUCGGAUGAGAAAUCCACGCAAAGUGUAGCGGAAAAGGCUUUCAGCAAGCCCAUACCCCAGAAGGUCAAGGCUGAGAUCAUGAACAAACUUUUUAAUGAUGAAUUUUUUGAUUUCGUAAAUUAUGACUUGUUUCUUUGACCAAAAAAAAAUAAAAAGUAA